AGCGAACGCUGGCGGCAGGCCUAACACAUGCAAGUCGAACGAACUCUUCGGAGUUAGUGGCGGACGGGUGAGUAACACGUGGGAACGUGCCUUUAGGUUCGGAAUAACUCAGGGAAACUUGUGCUAAUACCGAAUGUGCCCUUCGGGGGAAAGAUUUAUCGCCUUUAGAGCGGCCCGUGUCUGAUUAGCUAGUUGGUGAGGUAACGGCUCACCAAGGCGACGAUCAGUAGCUGGUCUGAGAGGAUGACCAGCCACACUGGGACUGAGACACGGCCCAGACUCCUACGGGAGGCAGCAGUGGGGAAUCUUGCGCAAUGGGCGAAAGCCUGACGCAGCCAUGCCGCGUGAAUGAUGAAGGUCUUAGGAUUGUAAAAUUCUUUCACCGGGGACGAUAAUGACGGUACCCGGAGAAGAAGCCCCGGCUAACUUCGUGCCAGCAGCCGCGGUAACAC
rnacentral:rRNA from 1 species